GAAGUAUGAUAAUUGUAACAAUGAAGAUCGAAGUCCAAGAGAAAGGUAUCCCAUAAUGAGCAAUGCUUUACAAAACUCUGGAAGGGCUAUAUUUUAUUCCAUGUGUGAAUGGGGAGAUGAUAAUCCUGCCACGUGGGCUUCCUCUGUUGGAAAUAGUUGGAGAACUACUGGAGAUAUUACUGAUGAUUGGAACAGUAUGACUUCUCGGGCUGAUUUGAAUGAUCAGUGGGCAUCUUAUGCUGGUCCAGGUGGCUGGAAUGAUCCAGAUAUGUUAGAAGUUGGAAAUGGAGGAAUGAGUUUUGGAGAAUAUCGUUCUCAUUUCAGUAUUUGGGCAUUAGUAAAGGCACCUUUAAUUAUAGGUUGUGAUUUAAGAUCAAUGGAUAAUACUGCCCAUGACAUUCUAAGUAAUCCAGAGGUCAUUGCAGUUAAUCAAGAUAAACUU
rnacentral:misc_RNA from 1 species